rnacentral:rRNA from 1 species
UUCGCAAUGCCCGAAAGGGUCUGACCUAUCCCUGGAGGAAGCACGGGCUAAGUUCGUGCCAGCAGCCGCGGUAAGACGAACCGUGCGAACGUUGUUCGGAAUCACUGGGCUUAAAGGGCGCGUAGGCGGGCCGCAAAGUCAGGGGUGAAAUCCUCCAGCUCAACUGGAGAACUGCCUUUGAUACUGGCGGCCUGGAGUAAGGUAGGGGCAUGCGGAACUGAUGGUGGAGCGGUGAAAUGUGUUGAUAUCAUCAGGAACUCCGGUGGCGAAAGCGGCGUGCUGGACCUUUACUGGCGCUGAGGCGCGAAAGCCAGGGGAGCAAACGGGAUUAGAUACCCCGGUAGUCCUGGCCCUAAACGAUGGGCACUAAGUAGAGGGGUUUUAAUC